GACGAACGCUGGCGGCGUGCUUAACACAUGCAAGUCGAACGGAAAGGCCCUGCUUUUGUGGGGUGCUCGAGUGGCGAACGGGUGAGUAACACGUGAGUAACCUUCCCUUGACUUUGGGAUAACUUCAGGAAACUGGGGCUAAUACCUGAUUGGAGCUCCUGCUGCAUGGUGGGGGUUGGAAAUUUUCGGCGGUUGGGGAUGGACUCGCGGCUUAUCAGCUUGUUGGUGGGGUAGUGGCCUACCAAGGCUUUGACGGGUAGCCGGCCUGAGAGGGUGACCGGCCACAGUGGGACUGAGAUACGGCCCAGACUCCUACGGGAGGCAGCAGUGGGGAAUAUUGCACAAUGGGCGGAAGCCUGAUGCAGCAACGCCGCGUGCGGGAUGACGGCCUUCGGGUUGUAAACCGCUUUCGCCUGUGACGAAGCGUGAGUGACGGUAAUGGGUAAAGAAGCACCGGCUAACUACGU
rnacentral:rRNA from 1 species